rnacentral:rRNA from 1 species
AUACGUAGGGGGCUAGCGUUAUCCGGAUUUACUGGGCGUAAAGGGUGCGUAGGUGGUUUUUUAAGUCAGGAGUGAAAGGCUACGGCUCAACCGUAGUAAGCUCUUGAAACUGGAAAACUUGAGUGCAGGAGAGGAAAGUGGAAUUCCUAGUGUAGCGGUGAAAUGCGUAGAUAUUAGGAGGAACACCAGUAGCGAAGGCGGCUUUCUGGACUGUAACUGACACUGAGGCACGAAAGCGUGGGGAGCAAACAGGAUUAGAUACCCUGGUAGUCCACGCCGUAAACGAUGAGUACUAGGUGUCGGGGGUUACCCCCCUCGGUGCCGCAGCUAACGCAUUAAGUACUCCGCCUGGGGAGUACGCUCGCAAGAGUGAA